rnacentral:rRNA from 1 species
GCACGCCCACCAUCCUCAUCUCUCCACCUGUGCACCUCUUGUAGACUUGGAUUGACUUUCCGAGGCAACUCGGUCGGGAGGAUUGCUGGCAUCAGCUGGCUUUCUUUGCAUUUCCGGGUCUACGUUUUUCAUAUACCCCAUUGUAUGUAACAGAAUGUAAUAUUGGGCCCUUGUGCCUAUAAACCUUAUACAACUUUCAGCAACGGAUCUCUUGGCUCUCGCAUCGAUGAAGAACGCAGCGAAAUGCGAUAAGUAAUGUGAAUUGCAGAAUUCAGUGAAUCAUCGAAUCUUUGAACGCACCUUGCGCUCCUUGGUAUUCCGAGGAGCAUGCCUGUUUGAGUGUCAUUAAAUUCUCAACCUUUAUCACUUUUUGCUGAUAAUGGCUUGGAUAUGGGGGUCUAUUUUGCUGGCUUCUUUACGGAUGGUCAGCUCCCCUUAAAUGCAUUAGCCGGUGCCCYGCGUGGACUGUCUAUUGGUGUGAUAAUUAUCUACGCCGUGGACAUCUGCAAUUAUAUGG